CCCCUACUCUCUCUCUCUCUCUCUGAAAAAAAAAUAAACUAAAAAAAAAAAGCAAAACACAAACAAAACAAAACUUGUUUAAUACCCUGCAGGUGAAAUAACACGUUUGUGAGCUGGUUUGCAAUUUAUAGGUUAGGCUUUCUGCUAGUUACAAAAAUUCAAACACAGACUACAACGGGACCCCCUUUUUUUUGUCAUUGUUCAUGAAAUGCACUUUUUAUUAGAAUGCAUUAAAAUUUUCCAAAAUUCAGAACAAAGUUCUAAAGAUAUAAAUGCUUAGGUAUUUUUGUCACUACAUUAAUUUAUCAUAUUAACAUCGCCUUCUAUUCCUAGGACGGUUUCCACAGGGCACGAAGCUGGAGGGUGUUAUCUCUGUCACUGUUCACGAGGCAGCGGUGAGGUAGGCACCAUUACUUCCACGGGUGCUCACAAGGACACUGAGGCUGGGAGAAGCCCAGUGACUAACUCAAACCCCAUGACCAUGUGCUGGCAGCCUAAAACCCAGCCAGGGCUUUCCAACUCUGACUGUGCUUUGCAUUCAGUAAGCCCUGAUUUUUAGUUUCCCCCACCAGUACGACUAUACCGAUCCCCGCCUGCCAGCUCUCUCCCCAGCCAGCCCACAGGGGUCAUCUCCUUGGCAGCUGAGGCAGACAGAAGGGGCCAGACACUCAGCCAGGGCCUGGAGCCCACUGGCCCCGGGGCCCCACGUGCACUCUGGACCACAUCUCAUGCUGCCCGCCCUGCAUUCCAAACCCUGGUCACAGCUCCAGAAAGAUGCACGUUUUAAAGCAGUACUAUUGUCUGGCUUGUAAACCUAGUUUCUGGGAGGGGGAGAGAGAGAGAGAGAAUGAAUCUCAAGCAGGCACCACACUGAAUGUGACCUUGGGAUCAUGACCUGAGCAGAAAUCAAGAGUCAGUUGUUCAACCAACUGAGCCACCCAGGCGCCCUGACCCAGCAGCCAUUUAAAGGUUAGAUGCACAAAGAGCAAAACUGAAAUACAGGCCACACCAAUGGUAUAUUAUGGAACAGGCGGAA